ACCUAGGGAGAUAGCUCAGUCGGUAGAGCAUGAAAUUCUUAAUCUCAGGGUUGUGGGUUUGACACCCACUUUGGGCA